CUCGGUCUCAAUCACCAGCGUAUCCUGCCUGCCGCAAGAAACGCUACAGGAAGCGGGGUAAACGGAGCGGCAUUCGUGUCCGCCUUAAGGCUUAUUUUCGAGCUCAAGCUUUGGCUGAUCCAUAUGCUACCAUGGACCUUCUACCUACCUCUUCCUGCUCCCGGCACCGGCUUUCUACUCGAUCACUCAGCUGUCGGUGGAUUUGCUUCGCCGGGCAGCUAGACUACCCCGCCCUCCCAGAGGCAUGCCUACCUAUUCGGACCAUUGACUGUAGAAAACAUGGACGACGCGACAGCUCCCCAAAAAUGAAGCCAAAACGUCUCUAUCGCCCCCUGGUGUCUUGCUGCAGUAUAGGUCAUAAACCCCGCCUCCUCCAUGUUAGCGGAUGGGACUGGGGUCAGACUAAAACAAAUUAAUUCUCCUUAGAUAAUUUUUUUUUCCAAAGAUUCUUUCUUUUGUUUUCAAUAGUUCUCAUCACGCUGAUUGAUGUCCAAGGGGUCUCCUCUCCCAUAAGUUUGAUUCUAAUUCCUACCGCGGUGAUGUUAAAUUGGGGUGAAACGUCAUCAUAAGAGCUUUGACUGACAGCUGCAGUCACGGAAAAACUUGCGUAUCUCUGUUCGGGAAUAGCAGAUAGAGCGUAGGCUCUGAGAGGACGCCCAGCGUUUACAGUACGAAAACACGACCGAGUGUUUUAACCUGACAGCCUGAGGUGUUCUUCAGUAAACUGGACUACCCGACAGAAGGACCCGAGGCCCCGCUGCACUUUUUCGAUAUCAAGUGGAAGACAGUCUGGAUGGUCCCCCAUAAAUAUUUGAUUGUAAAUAAGAGAUUCUGGAAGGAAUUUAGCAGGUUUGUUAUUGUCCAUAUUUUAAGGGAGUUUUCUUUACGAUGGGAAGGUCCAGAGAAGGUCCACUGCCAGUUCAGAUAGAGGGGGAGGAGGUGGAGGUGGUCAACAAGUACAAGUACCUCGGGCUGUGGGUGGACAAUAAACUGGACUGGUCAUGCAACACAGAGCACCUGUAUAAAAAAGCCCAAAGCCGACUGUACUUCCUCAGGAGGCUGAGGUCUUUUAACAUCUGCAGGAAGCUCCUGAGGAUGUUUUACCAGUCGGUGGUUGCUGGAGUACUUUUCUAUGCUGUGGUGUGCUGGGGGAGUAGCACAGCAAAGAAGGACUCAUCCAGGCUGGAGAAACUGAUCAGGAGGGCUAGCUCUGUGGUCGGCAUGAAGCUGGACACUCUGGUGACAGUGGCAGAGAAAAGGACAUUAAAGAAACUGAUGGACAUUAUGGACAAUGCUGGGCAUCCUCUGCACACGGCCAUAAACAAUCAGAAGAGUCUGUUCAGUGACAGGUUGCUUCUCCCCAAGACAAGAACUAACAGACUUAAAAACUCCUUUGUCCCACACGCCAUCAGACUGUUUAACUCCUCUCUGGAGGGGA
ensembl:lncRNA